GCACAAGCGGUGGAUGAUGUGGUUUAAUUCGAUGCAACGACGAAAACCUUACCCACCUUUGACAUGGCAGGAAUCCUGAAGAGAUUGGGAGUGCUCGAAAGAGAACCUGUACACAGGUGCUGCAUGGCUGUCGUCAGCUCGUGUCGUGAGAUGUUGGGUUAAGUCCCGCAACGAGCGCAACCCUUGCCAUUAGUUGCUACGAAAGGGCACUCUAAUGGGACUGCCGGUGACAAACCGGAGGAAGGUGGGGAUGACGUCAAGUCCUCAUGGCCCUUAUAGGUGGGGCUACACACGUCAUACAAUGGCCGGUACAGAGGGUAGCCAACCCGCGAAGGGGAGCCAAUCCCACAAAGCCGGUCGUAGUCCGGAUCGCAGUCUGCAACUCGACUGCGUGAAGUCGGAAUCGCUAGUAAUCGCGGAUCAGCAUGUCGCGGUGAAUACGUUCCCGGGUCUU
rnacentral:rRNA from 1 species